rnacentral:tRNA from 1 species
GCCUCCUUAGCUCAGUGGUAGAGCGUUGGUCUCGUAAACCAAAGGUCGAGAGAUCAAUCCUCUCAGGAGGCA